GAUAUGGCUCAGGAUGAACGCUGGCGGCGUGCUUAACACAUGCAAGUCGAACGAAGCACUUUACCUGAUUUCCUUCGGGGAUGAUUGUUUCUGUGACUGAGUGGCGGACGGGUGAGUAACGCGUGGAUAACCUGCCUCACACAGGGGGAUAACAGUUGGAAACGACUGCUAAUACCGCAUAAGCGCACAGCACCGCAUGGUGCAGUGUGAAAACUCCGGUGGU
rnacentral:rRNA from 1 species